GAUGAACGCUAGCUACAGGCUUAACACAUGCAAGUCGAGGGGAAACGACAUCGAAAGCUUGCUUUUGAUGGGCGUCGACCGGCGCACGGGUGGGUAACGCGUAUCCAACCUGCCCAUCACUUGGGAAUAACCUGGCGAACGUAAGACUAAUACUCAAUGAUAUCCCACGAAGGCCUCGGAAUGGUGUUAAAGAUUUAUCGAUGAUGGAUGGGGAUGCGUCUGAUUAGCUUGUUGGCGGGGUAACGGCCCACCCAGGCAACGAUCAGUAGGGGUUCUGAGAGGAAGGUACCCCACAUUGGAACGGGGACACGGUCCAAACUCCUACGGGAGGCAGCAGUCAGGAAUAGUGGGCAAUGGGCGAGAGCAUGAACCAGCCAAGGAGAGUGCAGGAAGGCGGCCCUAUGGGUUGUAAACUGCUUUUAUGAGGGAAUAAAGUGGGUAGCGUGUGACUUUUUGCAGGUACCUUAUGAAUAAGGACCGGCUAAUUACGUG
rnacentral:rRNA from 1 species